AAGCAAAUGACGAAAUCGCACCUCGGCCCGACUCCAACCCUGGGGGCGAAAUGAGCUUUUUAACUCAGAUGCUU
ensembl:snoRNA K02C4.7 ncRNA